GAUGAACGCUGGCGGCGUGCCUAAUACAUGCAAGUCGAGCGAACGGACGAGAAGCUUGCUUCUCUGAUGUUAGCGGCGGACGGGUGAGUAACACGUGGAUAACCUACCUAUAAGACUGGGAUAACUUCGGGAAACCGGAGCUAAUACCGGAUAAUAUUUUGAACCGCAUGGUUCAAAAGUGAAAGACGGUCUUGCUGUCACUUAUAGAUGGAUCCGCGCUGCAUUAGCUAGUUGGUAAGGUAACGGCUUACCAAGGCAACGAUGCAUAGCCGACCUGAGAGGGUGAUCGGCCACACUGGAACUGAGACACGGUCCAGACUCCUACGGGAGGCAGCAGUAGGGAAUCUUCCGCAAUGGGCGAAAGCCUGACGGAGCAACGCCGCGUGAGUGAUGAAGGUCUUCGGAUCGUAAAACGCUGUUAUUAGGGAAGAACAUAUGUGUAAGUAACUGUGCACAUCUUGACGGUACCUAAUCAGAAAGCCACGGCGAACUACGU
rnacentral:rRNA from 1 species